rnacentral:rRNA from 2 species
AAGUCGUAACAAGGUUUCCGUAGGUGAACCUGCGGAAGGAUCAUUAUCGUACAAAAUGUGUGAGGCAUGCGAGGGCUGUUGCUGACUCAAAGUCGUGCACGCCAGAGUGUGUCCUCUCACAUAACCAUCCAUCUCACCCUUUGUGCACCACCGCGUGGGUACCCUUUGGGAUCACACCGAUCUCAGAGGGGGCUUGCGUUUUCACAAAAAAAACCCCCCUUUGAAAAGUGUAGAAUGUCCUCAUUUAUGCAAUCAAUACAACUUUCAACAACGGAUCUCUUGGCUCUCGCAUCGAUGAAGAACGCAGCGAAAUGCGAUACGUAAUGUGAAUUGCAGAAUUCAGUGAAUCAUCGAAUCUUUGAACGCACCUUGCGCCCCUUGGUAUUCCGAGGGGCACACCCGUUUGAGUGUCGUGAAAAUAUCAACCUCCUUGGUUUCUUCUGGAGACCAAAGGAGGAUUGGACUUUGGAGGCCUUUGCUGGCAUCUUUCUCUUUUGAAGGCCAGCUCCUCUUGAAUGAAUUAGCAGGGUCCUCUUUGCCAACCCUUGACAUGUGAUAAUACGUUUCCGUGUCUUGGUUUCUGGCUCUGUUGCUUCUGGGACCUGCUUCCAACCGUCUCAACCUUGCAUCGAGACAAUGUUCGGGCACGUCUCCCUUCUUGGGAAACCUCCUCGACCC